rnacentral:misc_RNA from 1 species
CAACCCUCGAGCCCCUCCGGGGGGUCGGCGUUGGGGAUCGGCCCCUCACCGGGCCGCCCCCGAAAUCCAGUGGCGGUCUCGCCGCAGCCUCCCCUGCGCAGUAGUUUGCACACUCGCACCGGGAGCGCGGCGCGGCCACAGCCGUAAAACACCCCAAGCUCUGAAAUG